rnacentral:rRNA from 1 species
UACGUAGGGGGCAAGCGUUAAUCGGAAUUACUGGGCGUAAAGUGUGCGCAGGCGGCCGCGCAAGUCGAGUGUGAAAUCCCCGAGCUUAACUUGGGAAUUGCGCUCGAAACUACGUGGCUGGAGUGUGGCAGAGGAAGGUGGAAUUCCACGUGUAGCGGUGAAAUGCGUAGAGAUGUGGAGGAACACCGAUGGCGAAGGCAGCCUUCUGGGCCAACACUGACGCUCAUGCACGAAAGCGUGGGGAGCAAACAGG